AUACGUAGGGGGCAAGCGUUAUCCGGAAUUACUGGGCGUAAAGGGUGCGUAGGCGGUUUAUCAAGUCAGGGGUGAAAGGCUACGGCUCAACCGUAGUGAGCCUCUGAAACUGGUGAACUUGAGUGUAGGAGAGGAAAGUGGAAUUCCCAGUGUAGCGGUGAAAUGCGUAGAUAUUGGGAGGAACACCAGUGGCGAAGGCGACUUUCUGGACUACAACUGACGCUUAGGCACGAAAGCGUGGGGAGCAAACAGGAUUAGAUACCCUGGUAGUCCACGCUGUAAACGAUGAGUACUAGGUGUCGGCUGUCAAAGGUCGGUGCCGGCGUUAACACAUUAAGUACUCCGCCUGGGGAGUACGCUCGCAAGAGUGAA
rnacentral:rRNA from 1 species